rnacentral:rRNA from 1 species
CAGCCGCCACGGUAAUACAGAGGGUGCGAGCGUUAAUCGGAUUUACUGGGCGUAAAGCGUGCGUAGGCGGCUUCUUAAGUCGGAUGUGAAAUCCCUGAGCUUAACUUAGGAAUUGCAUUCGAUACUGGGAAGCUAGAGUAUGGGAGAGGAUGGUAGAAUUCCAGGUGUAGCGGUGAAAUGCGUAGAGAUCUGGAGGAAUACCGAUGGCGAAGGCAGCCAUCUGGCCUAAUACUGAAGCUGAGGUACGAAAGCAUGGGGAGCAAACAGGAUUAGAUACCCGCGUAGUCCCUGUCUCUUAUAC